rnacentral:rRNA from 1 species
UCCUACGGGGGGCAGCAGUGGGGAAUAUUGCGCAAUGGGGGCAACCCUGACGCAGCAACGCCGCGUGCGGGAUGAAGGCUUUCGGGUUGUAAACCGCUUUCAGCAGGGAUGACAUCGACAGUACCUGCAGAAGAAGCCCCGGCUAACUACGUGCCAGCAGCCGCGGUAAUACGUAGGGGGCGAGCGUUAUCCGGAUUCAUUGGGCGUAAAGCGCGCGCAGGCGGGCUUGCAAGCGGGGCCUUUAAUCUUGGGGCUUAACCUCAAGUCGGGUUCCGAACUGCAAGCCUCGAGUGUGGUAGGGGAAG